CUCCUCCACUCGACGCCGAGUCGCUCCGCCCGACGCCGAGUCACCGGCCAGCUCCUCCGCCCGACACCGACCAGGUCCCCUCCCCUGCCAUGCUCCGACCACCUUCUACGCCCCGCUGUGAUGGCAUCAUCCGUCCAGCCCUGAGACCACUUGUACAGAAACAAAGGAGGCUUCUGUCUCGGUCUGAUGAUGCGUGCAGAGGAGGCCAUUGGAGGUGGGCUUCGGAGGGCUUCGUUGGAGGGGGCCGUCAAAGCAUGCAGGGGAGGGCGUCUUAUGGGACAGAGAGAGCCACAGGAGCGGAGCAGAGACGCCCGUCACGGCCGCGUGGAGUAGACAGUCCGAGUGGCGGCGGAGGCUACGGGCGUUGUCCCAGCGGAGCUCCUUCGGGAGGACGCAGUGGUGGAGUCUGCGGUGGUCGGGGGCGUGGCGGCUGUCGGCGCCGGGAUGGGCCCCGAUCUGGGCCUAUCGGGGCCAUGGCCGCUGUUGGCGUUGGCCGGCAUCUCCGUCGUGGCGAUGAACGAUGUACAUUGCGCAAAAUAUAACUAGAAUCCACAGUACACGCGUGAACGAUGUACACUGUUGAAGGUGCUAUUAUGGCCUGCUUCUUUCUACCUACGGAUCCCACCUAGACUGUCAGAAGGUAGAUCCGAAUUGAAUAAGAAAAUUUCACGCCGUUUCA